rnacentral:ncRNA from 2 species
GAUUUAUGUAGCUAACGGACAACCGUCUAUAUUGUUCUAAAAAUCCAAAAUAGUCGCUUGUCCUUUAGCCGCUGCGAUCC